rnacentral:rRNA from 1 species
AUGGGAGUAUAUCAAUCACAAACGGGAGCGAACGGCACAAAAAAUAUACAUUUCCAUUGGCCUAACCGCCAUGCUCCCCCACCCGCUAAACCCCCAGCUACCUACACCGUCAACUCUCGAACUCGUCACCGUCGUCCCUUCUCCGGUCGGUUGUUUACCGCCGGCGAAAAAUCGACUGAAACCGUAAAAAAAAUGAAUAACAAUUGCAAAAAAAGAAAAAAAAACUUGGGCAAAGAACAUGACAUAGAGGCGCCAGGACACUAUUAUCUAUGCAAUUUUAACUUUACUCAGACGGAAUUACGGCGUCGGGGCGGCCGGAGGUGUGCCCCUCGACCGCUCCUCCUCCGGGGUGCCCCGCGCGCUCUCCUCGGUUGUCGUCUGGCCAUGGCCACCGCCGAUCUCCUCGAUCAUUCUGACCACGUCCGGGGCGUCCGGCCGCGCGUCCGGCACGGUGGCCACGCACGCCAUGGCCACCUGCAGCAGUGCCACCAUCUCCUCCUCGGCGCUCGCGCCGAGCCGCACCAGCUCGACGUCGAACACCUCGGCGGUCCACUCCUCGCGCACCACGGACUGCACCCACCGUGGCAGGUCCAGCGUGCCGUCGCCCUCGAGGGACGCGUGCGUCGGGGACUUGCCGGUGAGAAGCUCCAGCAGGAGGACGCCCAGGGAGUAGACGUCGGCCUUGAACGUGGGACGGCGCGUGUCCACGACCUCCGGCGCGCGGUAGCCGCCGGCGCCGGCGCGGGUGGACGACGGGGCGAAGAUCGGGUGGAGGCAGAAGUCGGAGAGCGCGGCGGCGUCGUAGUCCGGUCGGAGCAGGACGUUGGAGGACUUGACGUUGCCGUGCGCGAGGUUGUGCGCGGAGUGCAAGUGCGCAAGCCCGCGAGAGGCGGACAGCGCCGAGAGCAUGCGCGCGUCCCAGUCCAUCGGCGUCCGGCCGGAGCCCCGGCUCCCUGCCGUGGAGCAUGGCGGAGAGGCUGCCGUUGGGGAGAUAGUCGUAGACGAGGAGCUUCUCGUCCUUGGAGAAGUAGUAGGCGCGGACGGGGAGCAGGUUGCGGUGCUCCACCCUGCCCAGCGCCUCCAUGUGCGCGUCGAACUCGCGCCGCGCCACCGCCACGUCCUUGA